UGGAAUCUCAAUACCAUCAUCGUACGUAUAUUCUUCUUUAUUAUAAUUUAAACUUAUAAUAUAAUGUUAUAGAUAAUUAUGAUAAACAUAUGCAGAGUGGUUUCUUCCUACCAUUUGAUAACUUGUAUUUAGGAGAUUAACGUGCCACCAGAUGCCUGUAUGGCAAUAAUAGAACAUUCAUCAAGUCAUCCUCAAAAAAUAUGAAUGUCUUCCAUCUUUUGGCUAUUUAUAAUCUAUGGUUGGAUGGUACAGGUAUUCGAAAAGAUAUAGGCUUGUUAUUAAUUAAACCUAUUUGUAGUUCCUCAUAGUGGAGGUCACUUUUCAGUUAGGUUUUUGUGUGAUGGAACCUUGUAUACAAUACAUUGUUCUAGUGAAAGAGUGCUUAUGCAUGCCCUACCAUUAUGAGACUGCACAUUUUAUAAGACCUUUUAUGUUAAGCAAGUAAAUCUAGGGGUGGCCAUGGUUUAGGAACCGUCGGUUACGGUUCUUGAAUCGCCGGUUUAGGUUCAAUG
rnacentral:misc_RNA from 1 species